AGUGAACGCUGGCGGUAUGCCUAACACAUGCAAGUCGAACGGCAGCACAGUAAGAUCUUGCUCUUACGGGUGGCGAGUGGCGGACGGGUGAGGAAUACAUCGGAAUCUACUUUUUCGUGGGUGAUAACGUAGGGAAACUUACGCUAAUACCGCAUACGACCUACGGGUGAAAGCAGUGGUUCUUCGGACCUUGCGCGAUUGAAUUAGCCGAUGUCGGAUUAGCUAGUUGGCGGGGUAAAGGCCCACCAAGGCGACGAUCCGUAGCUGGUCUGAGAGGAUGAUCAGCCACACUGGAACUGAGACACGGUCCAGACUCCUACGGGAGGCAGCAGUGGGGAAUAUUGGACAAUGGGCGCAAGCCUGAUCCAGCAAUACCGCGUGGGUGAAGAAGGCCUUCGGGUUGUAAAGCCCUUUUGUUGGGAAAGAAAAGCAGCAGGUUAAUACCCCGCUGUUCUGACGGUACCCAAAGAAUAAGCACCGGCUAACUUCGUG
rnacentral:rRNA from 1 species